UAAACCGGGAAAAUGUUUGACACAGGAAACUAUAAGCUAGGAUAAACACCACAACUGAAGCAAGAACACCGCGUGUGUGCACCCACGACGAACCGAGCCAGUUUGUGCUGAAACCAAAAAAGAAGUUCUGACCUGACAGGAAUUUUGCAAAUGGUGACCCAGCUGACCAGCCCUCAUGAGGAGGCAUGCAGCGGACAUUAACGUGGACAGGAAUCACCACAGCCAGGAUGAAUGAGGAAAAGAAUCAAGAUCAGCAAGAGGAUGGAGAGCAGGACCAGACCCCAAUUAUCAGACCGUCACUCACAAUCCUUCAUUUGCCUUCCCGAUUGCCGCUUUCUAUCCUGCAUUAAUUUUAUUCAGGAAAAUCCAGCUGGAACCCCGGGGAAGUGUGGGUGGAGAGGUAAAACACUCCACAGACCAACUGCGUUUUGGCAUUACAACCGAGACGGAUAAGACAUAAAACGCAGCGAGUGUUGCUUUUUUUUUUUUUUCUGUUCUGAAUAUCAUUUGCAUCAUGGAGAGAGGAAGAAAGUUGUCUGUUUGCUGUGACUCUGCUUUGGUGUUGCCAAUUAAUUUUGAAUUUCUUUGUGAGUGGAUUGCUGGAAGAGGGCCUAGUUUGAUGGAUAAACAAUGCUUCAGUGCAUAAUUUGGUUAAGCAUGGGAGUGAAAAACGUGAGAUCCAUUCAAUCUUCCUUUACCUAGUUGCUUUCUUGAAAUCCACUUAAGUUGACUGCAGACUUCUAAUGAGUUUGCUGUAAUUGAAAAACUGAAAAGUAGAUAAUUGGACCAUGUUUCUGACAUUAAAUUCUUUGGAUUCCCUUAGCUGUUACCAUGAGAUCUAAACAUGCGACGUCAUACCUGCUACCCCCCACACAAUAAGGGCUAUCACAUAUACAGUUGUGAUAAAUAUUGGAAUAGCAGCUUAAUGAAUAAUUCAUACAUUUUAACAUCUAAGAGAAUGCCCACCCACUCUGAGACGUUUUACUGGCUGCUUUGCAAAUCAAGACAAAGUCCCGACUGCCAUGUUUUGCAGCUAUGGUGGCUUUGUACAUUUUUAAUGGCGAGUUGAGAAAAAAAGGAAUAGCUAAUGAUCCCACUGCUCAGUAUGUCAGUUUUUUCUUUUCCUGAGAAAUGCACAGAUUCACCAUGAUUGUUAUUAUUAUUAUGCUUGGCCCUAAAAUCAUGCAUGUCCUUUUGUCAACAAGCGUAUAAAGACACUUUCGCAGCUUCUCUCCAAGGACCCCAUUUGCAUUAGCUUCCUUCAGUAACUUUGAUGGUGUUUAUCUUGAGCAACAAGACUUCUUUGUUCAUUUAUGUAAUUAAUGCAGAGUCUUUGAUUACUGCGGCUUCAUUUUCAUCAGAGUUUGAUACCAAUAUCUCGCCUUGGCAAAAUGCGUCUCCACAAAAUCAAAAUUAUGUGUGCAGAAAAUGCCUUCAACCACAGUGUCCACUGUUUUUAUAUGCUUAAUUUGUAUUGUUUUAAUUUUAGUGUUUGUUUUUAUCUCGGAGUGUUUUGUGAAUGUCUCUGUUGCAGCUUGGAUCAUACAAGCUGCUGUUCAAUGAGAGUAGCCUGGAGCAAUGUAUGCUUUCAUGUGAAAAGCGAGGGGGAGAAUACGGUGUGAGCUUAAUGGUACAUAAACAAUAUAGAUGCCUCAAUAACCAUAGAACUGGUGUCCUGUCUUCUUAUUGUUUUUUUUUGUUUUUUUUUUACCUUUAUGCAUGUAUUAAUUUAGACAGUCUCAGUCAAUUCAGUCAAGCAUUAGCUUUGCUUAAAAAAGAAACAAGAUUUUUACAUUCCAAACGUAUGUAUGUGUUUAUAAGAGCACCACUUGUGUGAACAUACGCAGUUAGAAUGUAGUCCGUACAUAAGCUGCACUAAUACGUUUUUCAAAACAAACACAGCUCCAAAUAAAACUUUACACACACUUAGAACAGUUUGCAUUGCCGCUGACUUUACCAUGAACAUACAACAUGUAAUAUCACAAUAAAUUCAAACUUGCAAACUCAGUGCUUGUGUUUUACAUAAAAUUAAAUCUUAUUUUCUUUUAAAAGGGGUUUCCAAUAUUAUCCAAUCAUCUUAUUUGAUUACCAUUACUCAAAUGAUUAAUUUAAAUGGCAAAUAUAACUUUCAUCCCCAUACGGA